CCUACGGGAGGCAGCAGUGGGGAAUAUUGGGCAAUGGGCGCAAGCCUGACCCAGCAACGCCGCGUGAAGGAAGAAGGCUUUCUGGUUGUAAACUUCUUUUCUCAGGGACGAAGAAAGUGACGGUACCUGAGGAAUAAGCCACGGCUAACUACGUGCCAGCAGCCGCGGUAAUACGUAGGUGGCGAGCGUUAUCCGGAUUUACUGGGUGUAAGGGGUGUGUAGGCGGCAAUGUAAGUCAGAUGUGAAAACCAGGGGCUCAACCUGUGGCUUGCAGUUGAAACUGUUUUUCUUGAGUACUGGGGAGGCAGACGGAAUGCCUAGUGUAGCGGUGAAAUGCGUAGAUAUUAGGCGGAACACCAGUGGCGAAGGCGGUCUGCUGGACAGCAACUGACGCUGAGGCGCGAAAGCGUGGGGAGCAAACAGGAUUAGAUACCCUAGUAGUC
rnacentral:rRNA from 1 species